rnacentral:rRNA from 1 species
UACAGAGGAUCCAAGCGUUGUCCGGAUUGACUGGGCGUAAAGCGCACGCAGGCGGACGCGCGCGUGGGGUGUGAAAUCUGGCCGCUUAACGGCCAGGCGCCAUCCCAUACGGCGCGUCUGGAGUGAUGCAGAGGUCGGUGGAAUUGCCGGUGUAGUGGUGAAAUGCGUAGAGAUCGGCAGGAACACCCAGGGGGAAACCAGCCGACUGGGCAUCUACUGACGCUGAGGUGCGAGAGCGUGGGGAGCGAACCGG